GGAGGCGUAGCUCAGCGGUAGAGCGCUCGUUUUAAGCGAGAUGUCGAUGGUUCGAAUCCAUCCGCCCCA
rnacentral:tRNA from 1 species